AACAUAAUUAUUAUUAAUAGCAGCAGACCAUUACAAAAUCCAAACGACUACGUAGAUAUUGGCAAGCUUAUUUACUGCGUACAUUGCUUGCUAGCCACAAUAACAAGACAAUUUGAUUUCACUCAAUCAUCAUAAGAAGCAGGAACAGGCAAAAGUAGCAAUUGAAUGAAGCGAUCCAAUACUUUCAGUGCAUUUGCGUUGGCCAAAGUACUGUUUUUCACAUCUGAUCCAUUUGCGUAAUUUGAAACUCCAUUGAACAAAAUAAAUGGCAGUUCGUUUGUAUAAGCUCCCAAUGCCACAGCAACGCUCGAUUUAUCCACAACUGAGGUCUUAAAAGUGUUGUAAAGGAAGUUUUUGUAUGCUUCAUUGUUCACGUAUGUCUCUGCACUGGAGAUCCUCAAUCCAUGAACAACUUGAACUGAGUCGACCUCACAAAUCUCUUCUGCAAUCUUUUGCCAUUCUGGAGUAACGCGAAUCCAAAAACGUUCUUUGAAUGUCCCAUUGAUGUACGCCGUUGAUCUGUCAUACUGUACACUUCCUAGCCAAUUUUCUCCUUUCUCUGGAUAAUUAAACUCUCCGAACUUGAGCAGACCUUCCUUUGGUGCAUUGAUUGGCUGCCAAGUCCAAAGUCCAGUAGAGCCGAUUAAAUUGGGUACAGCAACAUUACCGAUGCUCAACGAAUCAUUAAGGGCUCCAGCACUCCCAAAAUAGAUGAUUCCAAGAAGAUUAAAUUUGGCAGCCAUGAUUUCCACUGUUAUGGCCACGUUAAUCGAUGGAUUAGCUGGACUAUUAACGAAGACAAAUUUACUUCCAUAAAUUGUUCCAAGCAAGAAUGUUCUUCCUUUGCAUACAACAGAUGAAUCAGGAUUGAAGAUACCAGAUUCAUUAAAUGCCUCCUCAGAGGAAGUGGCAGUCACAAUGAUCGCGUAAACUGAUAGUCCUAAGUCAUUGAUCUUCUGGACAGCCCCUUGCAGAGGGUUUUUCAUGCUAAGUUGCAUGGUGGGCGAUGCCAUAGCCAUUAGCCCCAUCACUAUCACUGCCAUUUCAACCGCCCAUAUCAUUCGUCGUGGUCCUGCCACGGCCAUUGUUUUUCCCUGGAGAGCUAGGUGUAGGAGAGAAGUGAACAAGAGAGAAAAAUAUUGAGUAAAUUAAGAAAAAUGCGAUGCUUAGAGUGUUAUAAGUUAGGUGGCUUUAUAUAGGGAAAUAUAGAUAUCCAUCACUUGAUAUGCAAGGUUGUUUUGAUGGUAGAGAGUUUCUCAAUUAAAUUAUAAGGAAUUAAUUUUGAUUUUGUUUUAGUUGAAGUUUAAUUUCAAUUGGCAUUUUUAGGAGUGAAGCUAGAAAAUUGAUUCAGAGGUCAAAAAAUUUUAUUUUAA
rnacentral:misc_RNA from 1 species